AGAGUUUGAUCMUGGCUCAGAUUGAACGCUGGCGGCAGGCCUAACACAUGCAAGUCGAGCGGCAGCACGGGUACUUGUACCUGGUGGCGAGCGGCGGACGGGUGAGUAAUACCUAGGAAUCUGCCUGGUAGUGGGGGAUAACGUUCGGAAACGGACGCUAAUACCGCAUACGUCCUACGGGAGAAAGCAGGGGACCUUCGGGCCUUGCGCUAUCAGAUGAGCCUAGGUCGGAUUAGCUAGUUGGUGAGGUAAUGGCUCACCAAGGCUACGAUCCGUAACUGGUCUGAGAGGAUGAUCAGUCACACUGGAACUGAGACACGGUCCAGACUCCUACGGGAGGCAGCAGUGGGGAAUAUUGGACAAUGGGCGAAAGCCUGAUCCAGCCAUGCCGCGUGUGUGAAGAAGGUCUUCGGAUUGUAAAGCACUUUAAGUUGGGAGGAAGGGCAUUAACCUAAUACGUUAGUGUUUUGACGUUACCGACAGAAUAAGCACCGGCUAACUCUGUGCCAGCAGCCGCGGUAAUA
rnacentral:rRNA from 1 species